rnacentral:rRNA from 1 species
GACGAACGCUGGCGGCGUGCUUAACACAUGCCAGUCGAACGGAAAGGCCCUGCUUGCAGGGUACUCGAGUGGCGAACGGGUGAGUAACACGUGGGUGAUCUGCCCUGCACUUCGGGAUAAGCCUGGGAAACUGGGUCUAAUACCGGAUAGGAGCCAUUUUUAGUGUGAUGGUUGGAAAGUUUUUUCGGUGUAGGAUGAGCUCGCGGCCUAUCAGCUUGUUGGUGGGGUAAUGGCCUACCAAGGCGGCGACGGGUAGCCGGCCUGAGAGGGUGGACGGCCACAUUGGGACUGAGAUACGGCCCAGACUCCUACGGGAGGCAGCAGUGGGGAAUAUUGCACAACGGGCGCAAGCCUGAUGCAGCGACGCCGCGUGGGGGAUGACGGCCUUCGGGUUGUAAACUCCUUUCGCUAGGGACGAAGCUUUUUGUGACGGUACCUAGAUAAGAAGCACCGGCUAACUACGUG